CGCAGCUCAGUGUAAAAUUUAUCCUUUUCGGCAGGGUCAGCUUGGAGAGUUGGGGCAUAUAUACUAAAGAGGACAACGUGUUGGUUGUUGUGGAGUGGAAGGCAUAGGGAGAUAAUGUGGUCAGAGUGACCUGUCGGCAGAUUUUCGAGUUUAGGGACAAUGGAGUUUUUGACCAUGAAGCCGACUCCUGAGAGAUGGUUUUCGGUUCUGGGCUUACCUGACCAAAAGAGUGUGUAACUGGCACCAUAUUCUCUG